GUAGUGGGGACUCCGGCAGACUGG
rnacentral:piRNA from 1 species